rnacentral:snRNA from 1 species
GGAUGUGAGGGCGAUCUGGCUGCAACAUCUGUCACCCCAUUGAUCGCCAGGGUUGAUUCGGCUGAUCUGGCUGGCUAGGCGGGUGUCCCCUUCCUCCCUCACCGCUCCAUGUGCGUCCCUCCCGAAGCUGCGUGCUUGGUCGAAGAGGACGACCAUCCCCGAUAGAGGAGGACUGUUCUUCGGUCAAGGGUAUACGAGUAGCUGCGCUCCCCUGCUAGAACCUCCAAACAAGCUCUCAAGAAGACAUGACCACAGAAGAGGAAGCCAUAGCCAGAUCUGGAGAUUCUGAGCACAAAGCAGGGACCAGCAUCU